rnacentral:rRNA from 1 species
AGGAUGAACGCUGGCGGCGUGCCUAACACAUGCAAGUCGAACGUCCUGUCUCGCAAGAGGCAGGGAGUGGCGGACGGGUGAGUACCACGUGGGUCAUCUACCGUGAGGUGAGGAAUACCGGCGAGAAAUCGCCGACAAGACCGCAUAGCCUCGGUGCAAGUCGAGGAAAGCUCUCUCGAGAGAGGGAGCGCCACACGAGGAGCCUGCGCCCGAUUAGCUAGCUGGUGGAGUAAUGGUUCACCAGGGCGACGAUCGGUAGCUGGUCUGAGAGGACGAUCAGCCACACUGGGAUUGAGAACGGCCCAGACUCCUACGGGGGCAGCAGUGAGGAAUUUUCGUCAAUGGGGGCAACCCUGAACGAGCAACGCCGCGUGCAGGAAGAAGGUUUCGGAUCGUAAACUGCUUUUCUCGGGAAGAGAACGGACGGUACCCGAGGAAUCAGCCCGGCUAACUACGUGCCAGCAGCCGC